CCUACGGGGUGCAGCAGUGGGGAAUAUUGGGCAAUGGGCGCAAGCCUGACCCAGCAACGCCGCGUGAAGGAAGAAGGCCCUCGGGUUGUAAACUUCUUUUGUCAGGGACGAAACAAAUGACGGUACCGGACGAAUAAGCCACGGCUAACUACGGGCCAGCAGCCGCGGUAAUACGUAGGGGGCAAGCGUUAUCCGGAUUUACUGGGUGUAAAGGGCGUGUAGGCGGGAGAGCAAGUCAGAUGUGAAAUUCCAGGGCUCAACCCUGGAACUGCAUUUGAAACUGUUUUUCUUGAGUGAUGGUGAGGCAGGCGGAAUUCCGUUUUUAGCGGUGAAAUGCGUAGAUAUACGGAGGAACACCAGUGGCGAAGGCGGCCUGCUGGACAUUAACUGACGCUGAGGCGCGAAAGCGUGGGGAGCAAACAGGAUUAGAUACCCGAGUAGUC
rnacentral:rRNA from 1 species